rnacentral:rRNA from 1 species
GACGGGUGAGUAACACGUGGGCAACCUACCUGUAAGACUGGGAUAACUCCGGGAAACCGGGGCUAAUACCGGAUGAAACAAAGCGUCGCAUGACGCAAUGUUAAAAGGCGGCAUAUGCUGUCACUUACAGAUGGGCCCGCGGCGCAUUAGCUAGUUGGUGAGGUAAAGGCUCACCAAGGCAACGAUGCGUAGCCGACCUGAGAGGGUGAUCGGCCACACUGGGACUGAGACACGGCCCAGACUCCUACGGGAGGCAGCAGUAGGGAAUCUUCCGCAAUGGACGAAAGUCUGACGGAGCAACGCCGCGUGAGUGAUGAAGGUUUUCGGAUCGUAAAACUCUGUUGUUAGGGAAGAACAAGUGCCAUUCGAAUAGGUUGGCACCUUGACGGUACCUAACCAGAAAGCCCCGGCUAACUACGUGCCAGCAGCCGCGGUAAUACGUAGGGGGCAAGCGUUGUCCGGAAUUAUUGGGCGUAAAGCGCGCGCAGGCGGUCCUUUAAGUCUGAUGUGAAAGCCCACGGCUUAACCGUGGAGGGCCAUUGGAAACUGGA